ensembl:snRNA U2 U2 spliceosomal RNA
AUCACUUCUUGGCCUUUUGGCUAAGAUCAAGUGUAAAGUUUAACAUUAGUGUUAGUUUUUUCUUUCUUUUUUUUAAGUUUAUUUAUUUAUAAAUAGAGAGAGAAACCAUGUGAGUGGGGGAGGGGCAGAAAGAGAGAGAGAAUCCCAAGCAGGCUCUGUGCUGUCAGCUCAGAGUCCGUCACGGGGCUCAAU